GUCUUAGAAGCUUACAGCGUCCUAUUUUGUAAAUAGGUUUAGGUUGGGGCAGGUUCAACCUAAGAUU
rnacentral:tRNA from 1 species